GUUCGAGUGUCUGCCAAUAAGACUGACCAGCUGUACAUGCAGCAAAAAUUGAAAAUGUAACCAAUCCAAAUGUCAAAUGUUACCUUUUUCGCCAUAUUAUCUGCCUUAUUUGUCGUUGACAGUUGACAUUUCUUUUAAAUUGGUUGACACUUUUAGAUACUGCAGAGCUUUACCCCCAAUAAUGUCUUUUCCGAACUUUGAUUCUCUGACUGAAUCUGAUAAAUUGAAACUCACUGUUUUGUGUGAUGUCAAAAAAAUUUGUAAUGAAGUAGGAUCUGGAUUGACACAAAAAGUUACAUUUGAUAAGCAGUCUGUGGAACUGAUUGCAGAGAUGGUUUGGCGUAAAGUUCAAGAUUAUGGAACCGAUCUAGAAUUAUUUGCACGACAUGCCAAGCAUACUACAAUAAAUGCUGAUGAUGUACGGCUUCUAGUUCGUAAAAACGAGUCACUAAAAGAACGAAUAACUAAAAUUAGCGAAGAAUUAAGUUCUGGUUCAUCAAAAAAGAAGAGAAAGGAUAAAGAUUUUGAUGCUGGACUAGAAGCAGGUCCAUCCGAUGCUGGGAAUGAUAAUAAUUUAAUUGGAAAUUUUGACAUGAUGGAUGACUUUUUGGAUGACUGAUCUGUGUUAAUCAGUAAUAGGUGACUGAUUAUGGUCAAAUGCAAUGCAGCUAUAGUGUCCUGCAUUUAUCACACUUGAAAAGUCAAGCUUUUCUAGCACCAUUUAACUCUUCAUCUUUAGUCCAAUUACUAUCUGUUCGUAAGAACCAAAUGCGUAUCACCUCGCGAUCAUAACCCAGUUGAUGAGCAAGUGCAGUGAUUUCAGUACCUGUGAGGGAAAGGAGAAGAACUCAUUAGAUUUUAAUUUCCAUCUUAAUCAACUUAAACCUGCAAAGUGUACUAGGGUGCUAACUAUGACCCCAGUUGAUUGACAUAUACCAAAGAGGAAGGUGCAGUCAAGAAGGCUAAUGCUGAGCGGUAAUCCUAUAAACAAUUUGCCCAUACCUGAGGGAUGAGUAUUUCUUUCAAAAUGAUGGUUUAGUAGCUCUAAAGCUUGUGGAGUGAAAGAAGUGCGCCGUUUUCUUUUCUUGGAUGGUUCCAUUCCAAUGAAUUCAGUUAGGUGAUUUUGUCCUAUUUUGUACCUAAAAAAUAGAUUGUCAAAUUUUAAAUAAAAUAAAAUUUACAUUAAAUAAA